AGGCCAAUGGCAGUCAGAAAU
rnacentral:miRNA from 1 species